rnacentral:tRNA from 1 species
GUCGUAACAGUUUUAGAAAAUUCUAAUCUUGUAAAUUAGAGGGAACAUAAAGUCACAAUUAUGUUUUGCGACA